rnacentral:rRNA from 1 species
UACGUAGGCAGCAAGCGUUUGUUCGGAGUUACUGGGCGUAAAGAGUGCGUAGGCGGUGUCGAAAGUUUGGCGUGAAAUCUCCCGCUUAACUGGGAGGGUGCGCCGAAAACUGCGGUGCUGGAGUGUGGGAAAGGCAAGCGGAAUUCCCGGUGUAGCGGUGAAAUGCGCAGAUAUCGGGAAGAACACCCGUGGCGAAGGCGGUUCUCUGGGACGGUACUGACGCUGAGACGCAAAAGCGUGGGGAGCGAACAGG